UACAGAGGUCUCAAGCGUUGUUCGGAUUCAUUGGGCGUAAAGGGUGCGUAGGUGGCGCGGUAAGUCGGGUGUGAAAUUCGGGAGCUUAACUCCGAACUGCAUUCGAUAACUGCCGUGCUUGAGGACUGGAGAGGAGACUGGAAUUUGACGGUGGUAGCAGUGAAAUGCGUAGAGAUCGAUAAGGAAGACCAGUGGCGAAGGCGGGUCUCUGGGACAGUUCCUGACACUGAGGCACGAAGGCCAGGGGAGCAAACGGG
rnacentral:rRNA from 1 species